AACGAAGUAAAUAAUGGCGGAGAAUAAGUAAGAAGUCUCGACAAUCAACGGUAAUCCGUCCUUAUUAGCUUUCCAAUGGCGUUCAUUGUCGCCUGAACAAUAAGUUUAUUCAUUGUAUGAGCCGCUAACAGUGUUUUGAAGGAGCUCUGAAGGACAAGGUACGAGAAAAAACCUCCGAAUCGACACCCUAGUCUCUUUGUUUUCGUUUUGUUUUGUUGAUAGAUUUGACAACUGGAGACAAAGAGUUUUGGUUUUACGGAUGCCUUCUACUUUCAGAUGGAAUUAAGGGUCGGGAACAAGUACAGACUCGGGAGAAAAAUUGGCAGUGGGUCAUUCGGUGACAUUUAUUUGGGGACCGACAUUUCCAAUGGAGAGGAAGUUGCUAUAAAGUUGGAAUGUGUAAAAACAAAGCACCCCCAGCUCCAUAUAGAGAGCAAGAUCUACAAGAUGAUGCAGGGGGGAGUGGGUAUCCCCACCAUCAAGUGGUGCGGAGCUGAGGGAGAUUACAAUGUGAUGGUAAUGGAGCUCCUAGGGCCCAGUCUGGAAGAUCUCUUCAACUUCUGCUCCAGAAAAUUCAGUCUCAAAACAGUCUUGCUGCUGGCAGAUCAGUUGAUAAGUAGGAUAGAAUACAUACACUCCAAAAAUUUCAUUCAUCGAGAUGUCAAACCAGAUAACUUUCUCAUGGGUCUAGGAAAGAAAGGAAAUCUAGUGUAUAUAAUAGACUUUGGACUUGCCAAAAAUACAGGGAUGCCCGAACACAUCAACAUAUUCCAUACAGAGAAAACAAGAAUCUCACAGGAACUGCCAGAUAUGCCAGCAUUAACACACAUCUCGGAAUAGAACAAAGUCGGCGGGACGACAUGGAGUCUCUUGGCUAUGUAUUCAUGUACUUCCUGAGGGGCAGCUUACCCUGGCAGGGACUUAAGGCAGCAACCAAACGCCAGAAGUACGAGCGAAUCAGUGAAAAGAAAAUGUCCACUCCCAUUGAAGAGUUGUGUAAAGGGUUUCCCUCUGAGUUUGCCACAUAUCUGAACUUUUGCCGAUCCCUGCGCUUCGAUGAUAAGCCUGAUUAUUCGUACCUGCGACAGUUGUUUCGUAACCUCUUCCACAGACAGGGAUUUACAUAUGACUAUGUAUUUGACUGGAAUAUGUUAAAAUUUGGCGGGCGUAACAGCGAUGACGCUGAUCGUGGUAAAGUGAGUUCCUCUGCACGUCCUCUCCACGGAACCGCGGGCGGCAGUCGGAUGCGGGGGGAACAGAUCCCUCCCACUACCACCCCUCCAGGGGACUACAACACUGAAUCUCCGAGACCUAUAUCUCGGGAAAGAGAACGACGAACAAGUACACGCCUUCAUCGAGGAAUCCCAACAGGUGCUGAGUUUGUGCGGGACGGAACCCGUGUGUCAACGGCACCGAUGCAACCAGGGAUGGUGACAAAUUCAGCCAUGCGUAGAGGAAGUGCGUCCAAGGAUGGCGACAACCCAGCGAGAACGGGCUCCUCUCGACACGCACGCAAGUGAGAGGAAGGAUAUUCCUGAACUUUGUACAAGGUUUUCCAUGAACAAAUCCUACCAAAUCAGGAAAUAUCUGUGUGUGAUCAUGUGCCAACAUCAACCAAAACAGUGAUACAAAUUGUUAUAUAAGUGGUGUGUGUGUGGCAAGUCUUGUUCAGUGUAUAACAAGAGAGCAAUAAGCUGCAUAGGGAACUUUUCCCUGUUUCAGGUUUGCAAGGAGUAGAUCUCAGUCGUUCAUUAGCAGAGUAGAAAGUUGGAAGUCUACUGACUGUAACCAGCCUCAACAGUGCUGGAAAAAGUUCUCAAGAAUAGCUAGGCUUGUGUGAAUGUGCUAUGUCGACUUUGUAAUAUGUAUUACUCAUUUUCUGUAAAUUAAUUCAUGCUCAUGACUUUGCUGUGUAUAUAUAAGGUAAUGAAAGACAUCACUAUUACAUACUGUAUAUAUAAUAUAUCUCUUGUUUUUAACUUGGAAAUAUUGUGUAUGUGUGACCAUUUGUAGGUGAUAGAUUUCUAAGUCUCUGGAUGACAGUACAUACUGGUAGGACCAAGCCAAUGUUGUAAUGUGAUAUCUGUGUAGAGUUGUCCCCCUUCACCGUGUGUCAGUAUUUCUGUAACAGAUUAAAUAAUAACCUAUUUAUUUUAACUCGUGUAUAUUCAUGAUUCCCCAGAAAUAUUGAGAAAAUAAGAUUUAUUAUAGUAUCAGAUGAACCAAUUUAAAAAAAAUACUUUCAUUACUUUGAUACUACAGUAUUUUGACAGUAGGACAUGAGAUGUGGACAUUUGUGCUAUACUAUAGGUCUGUUGAGAGCUGGUAUAUUGACUGGACGGUCACUAUAUUGCCAAUACAUGGAGAGAUCAGUUACCGACAGUUUGAUGAUGUUUGUCUACUGCUGAUUGACAAGACUGGAACUUGCGUUCGAAAGUCCUCCUUUUGUAAUCGGAAUCCAAUAGAGAUGAUUUGGUCAUUGUCUGAUGCAUUGUAUAUGAUUUGGUCAUUGUCUGAUGCAUUGUAUAUGAUUUGGUCAUUGUCUGAUGCAUUGUAUAUCUCCUUUAAAUGAAUUGGGAUCCUUACUUUUGGACAGGAGUAGAAUGAGUGAAUGCUUUUUAUACAUGAGCAAUUUUUUUUUUUAUAAGUGAGACUGUUUGAAAUUUUUAAAAGCGUAUUUAAUGGUCAAUAUUGUUGACUUGUCAUCUUUUAAAAUAAAAGAAUUUUUAAAAAUGAA
rnacentral:misc_RNA from 1 species